UCUUAGAUGACUGAGUUAUAAGUACUAGACUUUUAAUCUAGGUACGGCUGUAUUACUAGCCUCUAAGAA
rnacentral:tRNA from 1 species